AUUUUCCACGUCUUCCCACGACUCAGAAAGUGAAGAAGUUCAGAACAGCGAAGAAGAAUAUAUCGAAGAGACCACUGACUAUGACAAUAAUCAUGAAUUUCUGAAAGACAUGCAAAGCUGGGCUAUAAAAUUUAAUAUACCUCACCUGGCCCUAAACGAACUCUUUACUUUUUUGAACAAAAGAUUAGGUAAUGUUUUACCCAAAGAUGCUCGUACUUUACUUCAUACAAACAAAGAAACGGUGCAUAUUACAACCUCAGAUCCAGGACAGUAUUGGCAUAACGGAUUGAUUAAAUGCCUAAAAAAUACACUGCAGGGCUGGAUUUGAAUACUUUACGAAAUACGAUUUCGUUAAAUGUAAACAUAGAUGGGUUGCCUGUAUACAAAAGUUCAAGACAUCAACUCUGGCCUAUUUUGUGUAACAUCUUUGAAAUUCCCCACAUACCUCCCUUUGUGAUUGGAAUUUAUGCGGGUGAAGGAAAACCAUCUGAUCUAAAUGCUUAUUUAGAGUCUUUUGUGAAAGAAAUGAACGAACUUGAAGAAUAUGGAUUAGAUACAUCGUUGGCGCCAAAUGAAUCUAAAAUCAAAGUCAAAUUAAGAGCCUUCAUUUGUGAUUCACCAGCAAGAGCCUUGAUUAAAGGUGUCACAAAUUUUAAUGGAAAGCAUGGCUGUCUGAAAUGUACGGUGAUUGGCGAAUACUCACAUAAAUCAAAUACUGUAACAUUUCCUAAGUCCAAUUGUCCUAAAAGAAACGAUAAAGAUUUUCGUGCUAAAAAAUAUGAAGAACACCAUAAGCAUGAUUCUCCGUUAUUGAAACUAAACAUAGAUAUGAUAGAGGAUUUUCCUGUGGCAGACUCAUUACACCUAAUAGACCUUGGCUUGAUGAAGCGGUUGUUGAUUGGAUGGCGUGACGGAAAGUUGGGAAAAUACCUAACCAAAUGGAGUGCUCGUGAAAUUGAUAUUGUCAAUAGCUUUUUACUGAAUUGUCAAAUGCCCAAAGAAAUUCACAGAUCAAUGAGAUCUGUAGAUGUUUUGGCCCA